AGCAGGCGUGAGCUCCCCGUGCUCGCUCAGUUUCUGGCUUGCUGUCGCAGAGAGCAGACGUAUGCUCCCCGCGCUCGCCGUUUAUGCCUGGGAAAAGAGCUAUGAUGGUGGCGCCAUCUGGUGUGAUGCCUUACAACUAAGUGGCCACCUGUCAUUGAUCUCUGCAACUGCUGGGUGCCAACUACCAACAUGGCGGGCGCUGGACACUCGGGUGUUGCGGAGCGGCUUCUUCGCCGCGGCAUCGUUGAUUUUCGAUUAAAUUGUUUCUCUCCACUCUA